UACAGAGGGGGCAAGCGUUGUUCGGAAUUACUGGGCGUAAAGGGCGCGUAGGCGGCCUUCUAAGUCGAACGUGAAAUCCCCGGGCUCAACCCGGGAACUGCGUCCGAUACUGGAAGGCUUGAAUCCGGGAGAGGGAUGCGGAAUUCCAGGUGUAGCGGUGAAAUGCGUAGAUAUCUGGAGGAACACCGGUGGCGAAGGCGGCAUCCUGGACCGGUAUUGACGCGUGACGGCGCGAAAGCCAGGGGAGCAAAGCGGG
rnacentral:rRNA from 1 species